rnacentral:rRNA from 1 species
UACAGAGGUCUCAAGCGUUGUUCGGAUUCAUUGGGCGUAAAGGGUGCGUAGGCGGCGCGGUAAGUCGGGUGUGAAAUUUCGAGGCUUAACUUCGAAACUGCAUUCGAUACUGCCGUGCUAGAGGACUGGAGAGGAGACUGGAAUUUACGGUGUAGCGGUGAAAUGCGUAGAUAUCGUAAGGAAGACCAGUGGCGAAGGCGGGUCUCUGGACAGGUUCCUGACGCUGAGGCACGAAGGCCAGGGGGAGCAAACGGG